AUGAUGGUGUGGUCCUGAGGUUCUGAGCUCCCCUCCUCCAGCAGCCCCCUGCAUGGGCCCGGGUCUUGGCCGCUCUGGUGCCAGUGGGCAAGCGUGUCUCAUGGUUGCUCUGACCAUGGCGUGGUCAGCCCGGCCUGGAGCUCUGCCAAUAGGGCAUCUGGGAGACUCACCCUUGUCUGGAGGUUAAUGAUGAGGGCUUCA
rnacentral:lncRNA from 1 species